rnacentral:rRNA from 1 species
CCCAUACAAUCUUGCUAGCGCAUGCUAAAAAGAUAAAAGCUCCGGCGGUGUAAAAUGAGCGUGCGUCCUAUUAGCUAGUUGGAGAGGUAAUGGCUCACCAAGGCUACGAUGGGUAGGGGUUCUUAGUGGAAGGUCCCCCACACUGGCACUGAGAUACGGGCCAGACUCCUACGGGAGGCAGCAGUAGGGAAUAUUGGUCAAUGGGCGCAAGCCUGAACCAGCCAUGCCGCGUGCAGGAUGAAGGCUCUCUGAGUUGUAAACUGCUUUUGUACAGGAGCAAAAAAGCCCCUGCGGGGGCUCUUGAGAGUACUGUAAGAAUAAGCACCGGCUAAUUCCGUGCCAGCAGCCGCGGUAAUACGGAAGGUGCAAGCGUUAUCCGGUUUUAUUGGGUUUAAAGGGUGCGUAGGCGGCUUAUUAAGUCAGUUGUGAAAUCCUAGUGCUUAACGCUAGAACUGCGAUUGAUACUAUUAGGCUUGAGUUAAGAAGAGGUAGGCAGAAUUUAUGGUGUAGUAGUGAAAUGCUUAGAUAUCAUAAGGAAUACCAAUAGCGUAGGCAGCUUACUGGUCUUUAACUGACGCUGAGGCACGAAAGCGUGGGGAGCAAACAGGAUUAGAUACCCUGGUAGUCCACGCCGUAAACGAUGAUCACUCGAUAUACAUGAAACCUCGUGUGUGUCUAAGCGAAAGCGUUAAGUGAUCCACCUGGGGAGUAUACUCGCAAGGGUGAAACUCAAAGGAAUUGACGGGGGUCCGCACAAGCGGUGGAGUAUGUGGUUUAAUUCGAUAAUACGCGAGGAACCUUACCUGGGCUAGAAUGUAUUUUGACACCUUGAG